rnacentral:rRNA from 1 species
GACGAACGCUGGCGGCGUGCUUAACACAUGCAAGUCGAACGGAAAGGCCCUGCUUUUGUGGGGUGCUCGAGUGGCGAACGGGUGAGUAAAACGCGAGUAACCUGCACUUGACAUUGGGAUAAAUUCAGGAAAAAGGGGCUAAUACAGGAUAGGAGCUACUGCUGCACGGUGGGGGAUGGUAAGUUUCGGCGGUUGUGGCUGGAAUAGCAGCUUAUCAGCUUGUUGGUGGGGUAGGGGAUUACCAAGCCUUAGACGGGUAGCCGGCCUGGAAGGGUGACCGGCCACAUGGCUACUGAGAUACGGCCCAGACUCCUACGGGACGCAGCAGUGGGGAAUAUUGCACAAUGGGCGGGAGCCUGAUGCAGCAACGCCGCGUGCGGGAUGCCGGCUUACGAGUUGUAAACCGCUUUCUCCUUAGACGAAGCGUUAUUGACGGUAACUGGUAAAAAAGCACCGGCUAACUACGUG